AAUCAGGGGGUUAUUGUAAGAUAAUUGCUCAUUAACUAAACCAGAAAGUGAAAUAAGAAAUUUUCCAUGUGGGUGAUACCACAGUUAGAAAAUUGAUAUUUGCUAAGAUUUUGAUUCUUGUUAAGAAUAUAAGCCAGAAUUGAUAAAGAAAUACAUCAAGGGAAAAGAGAGGUUGAUAAGUUGUAGAGGUUUCUAUUAAAGAAUUGAAAGGGGAGUUCUUCAGUUCUGGAAGUCUGCUAGUUUCAAUCCAACAGUGCAUGGUGGUGUUUUUUGUGUUUGUUCUCAAUUUCUUUGAAUGGUCCAGAUUUAAUGUGACAUGGAUUGCCAAGUUGUACAAAAUCUGGCUAUAUAAAGCACUUUGAUAAUUUGCAAAAGUUUGAGGUUUCUUCUUUCACCUUCAUAAUUUUCAUCAACUAUUAGAGCUUAACAAAUUAAUAAUUGAGGGCAUCGUUGUGUUGCUUGCUUGAAUUUGUGUUUUUAGAAUCUUUCUAAAGAGGACUUCAAAACUCCUAUCUAAAUGUGCGAAUUAAAAAACUUUUAGUGGAAAGAAAAGAAUCUUUGAUAAUUUGUUUGCAUAAGAAAUAAAUAAGGGGAUAUUGAAUUUUUUAGCCUUUUUUUAAACAAAAUAUAUAUAUAUACACACACACCACACAACUGAUUAGGUUAACAAAAAUACCACAAUAGUUGAACUUUUCCCAAAAUACCCCCUUGACUUGUAGAGAGAUUCUCUACCUUUUGCAUCAAAGUCGACCAUUAACCAGAGGAUAUUACAGCGAUUGGAUUUGCAGCUUCAGCGAUCACCAGCAGACGACGAAACUCCACGGAUUGGUAGUGACGACGUAAUGACAGGAUGGCAGAAUCCUUGGUCCAUUGCUCUAGAAGUCAUCCUGCUCAAAACUUGCAUGACAAGAAUAAAGAGAAAAGGGGAAAAAUUAGAUCUCCUUGUCUUAGAUCCCUAGAGCUCUUGAAAAAACCGGCUGGAAUGCCAUUGAUGGAAAACGAUGUUGUGGAAACAGUUGGCGUUAACGCCAAAGCGUAGCUUUGUCUGGAAACGGUUGGCGUUAACGCCAAGGCUGCUGCAUUAUAUUCUUCACGCCAGGGCUGCAGUAUUCUUCAAUCAAAGGCUGCAUGCUGCAUUAUUCUUCACGGGUGAUAAAGGCUUCAAUUAUUUUUCCAUAUGCUGCUUCAAUUUUCUUCAAAGUUGACAUGGAUUCGUUCCCUGGCUGGAAGGCUGACGCAAUAGACAAAGAAUCUCUGUAAAAGUCAAGAGAGGAUACUGGUUGCUCUUCACUCAGGAGGUCCGGUGCUGGCCUAAUUUUUCUGUUAAAGGCUAAGCUCUGAACUAUUAAAGCUCCUUCAAUUGCUGGAGCAGACUUGUUGUGGUCCAUGAAUUGUAACCCUGGGCUGCUUUGCAAUAAAAUGGUUAGUGAACCGUAGUCUGAAUGCGGUGGCAAACCUAAUGCAAGAUCAGGUUCAGGACAUGCUGGAUAGCAGUUUACUGUCAUGAUUUGCAGGCCUUCUUCAAUGUCCUCUUGUAGGCUCGUGAACAUUAUCUGACAUGGAAGCAUCUUUUCCUGAAUGGGCAAGUUGAAGAACUCUGUUGCAGCAUCUAGGGCAUUUUUCAUGAUAGAAAGUGGGACUCCAUGGUUUAUCACCUGAAAUAGUGUAAGUUCUUUGCGAAAUAUUAUGCAAUAAUUAUGAUAACAAUUAUAAAAUUAUGUAUGCAUGACUUUGUAUAUUAUGUAAAGAUAUACUCACCUUUGAUAA